UAAGGAAUAUUGGUCAAUGGACGCAAGUCUGAACCAGCCAUGCCGCGUGGAGGAUGAAGGUCCUCUGGAUUGUAAACUUCUUUUAUCGGAGAAGAAACCCUCGUUUUCUAAUGGGGUUGACGGUACCCGAUGAAUAAGCACCGGCUAACUCCGUGCCAGCAGCCGCGGUAAUACGGAGGGUGCAAGCGUUAUCCGGAUUCACUGGGUUUAAAGGGUGCGUAGGUGGGUUGGUAAGUCCGUGGUGAAAUCUCCGAGCUUAACUCGGAAACUGCCGUGGAUACUAUCAAUCUUGAAUACUGUGGAGGUAAGCGGAAUAUGUCAUGUAGCGGUGAAAUGCUUAGAUAUGACAUAGAACACCGAUAGCGGAGGCAGCUUGCUACACAGUCAUUGACACUGAGGCACGAAAGCGUGGGGAUCAAACA
rnacentral:rRNA from 1 species